UUGACGGGGACCGCACAAGCGGUGGAUGAUGUGGUUUAAUUCGAUGCAACGCGAAAACCUUACCCACCUUUGACAUGGCAGGAAUCCCGAAGAGAUUUGGGAGUGCUCGAAAGAGAACCUGCACACAGGUGCUGCAUGGCUGUCGUCAGCUCGUGUCGUGAGAUGUUGGGUUAAGUCCCGCAACGAGCGCAACCCUUGUCAUUAGUUGCCAUCAUUUGGUUGGGCACUCUAAUGAGACUGCCGGUGACAAACCGGAGGAAGGUGGGGAUGACGUCAAGUCCUCAUGGCCCUUAUGGGUAGGGCUUCACACGUCAUACAAUGGUCGGUACAGAGGGUUGCCAACCCGCGAGGGGGAGCUAAUCCCACAAAGCCGAUCGUAGUCCGGAUCGCAGUCUGCAACUCGACUGCGUGAAGUCGGAAUCGCUAGUAAUCGUGGAUCAGCAUGUCACGGUGAAUACGUUCCCGGGUCUU
rnacentral:rRNA from 1 species